CCUUAAUCGACCCGUGCAGUGCCGUAGCUAACGCGUUAAGUACCCCGCCUGGGGAGUACGCACGCAAGUGUGAAACUCAAAGGAAUUGACGGGGGCCCGCACAAGCGGUGGAGUAUGUGGUUUAAUUCGAUGCAACGCGAAGAACCUUACCAGGGCUUGACAUCCCGCGAACCUUGAUGAAAGUCGAGGGUGCCUUCGGGAGCGCGGAGACAGGUGGUGCAUGGCUGUCGUCAGCUCGUGUCGUGAGAUGUUGGGUUAAGUCCCGCAACGAGCGCAACCCACGUCCUUAGUUGCCAGCAUUAAGUUGGGCACUCUGGGGAGACUGCCGGUGACAAACCGGAGGAAGGUGUGGAUGACGUCAAGUCAUCAUGCCCCUUACGUCCUGGGCUACACACGUACUACAAUGCUAUGGACAGAGAGUUGCGAGCCCGCGAGGGUGAGCCAAUCUCAUAAACCAUGGCUCAGUUCAGAUUGCAGGCUGCAACUCGCCUGCAUGAAGGAGGAAUCG
rnacentral:rRNA from 1 species